rnacentral:misc_RNA from 1 species
GAUGAAGAACGUAGCGAAAUGCGAUACUUGGUGUGAAUUGCAGAAUCCCGUGAACCAUCGAGUCUUUGAACGCAAGUUGCGCCCGAAGCCACUAGGCCGAGGGCACGCCUGCCUGGGCGUCACACGCCGUUGCCCCCCCAUCUACUCCUUCGGGAUUGCGGGGGGGCGGAUGAUGGCCUCCUGUGCGCCUAGCCGCGCGGUUGGCAUAAAUACCAAGUCCUCGGCGACGCACGCCACGACAAUCGGUGGUUGCGAAACCUCGGUUGCCCGUCGUGUGCGUUCGUCGCGCAUCGAGGGCUCGAAAAAAUGCUCGGCUCCGGCUGGGCUUUCAACGCGACCCCAGGUCAGGCGGGGUUACCCGCUGGAUUUAAGCAUAUCAAUAAGCGGAGGA